rnacentral:rRNA from 1 species
GAAUGGCAUCACGAAGAUUAUACUGUCUCCUUUUUCCAAUCAGUGAAACUAAUCUCCCCGUGAAGAAGCGGGGAUAUACAUAUAAGACGAGAAGACCCUAUGGAGCUUUAAGUAAAACAACAUUUGCCGUUACACAUCUUAAUUUAAGAAAAUUAACCUAUACUAUAGCAUUUUGAUUGUUAGCUUUAGGUUGGGGUGACCGCGGAGUAAAAAAGAACCUCCACAUUGAAAGGGGGAAAUCCCCUAAACAAAAAGUUACAACUUUACGUAUCAAUAUAUUGACAUCAAUUGACCCAAAAUUUUGAUCAACGAAACAAGUUACCCUAGGGAUAACAGCGCAAUCUGCUUCGAGAGCCCAUAUCGACAAGCAG